CUUGACCGAGCCGAGCAGCAGCGGCUGCCCCUCGGGCCGGUCCUGCCCGUACGUCGCCAGGAGGGCCUGGGCCUC
rnacentral:antisense_RNA from 6 species